GUGGGGAAUAUUGGGCAAUGGGCGAAAGCCUGACCCAGCAACGCCGCGUGAAGGAAGAAGGUCUUCGGAUCGUAAACUUCUAUCCUUGGUGAAGAUAAUGACGGUAGCCGAGAAGGAAGCCCCGGCUAACUACGUGCCAGCAGCCGCGGUAAUACGUAGGGGGCAAGCGUUGUCCGGAAUGAUUGGGCGUAAAGGGCGCGUAGGCGGCCUGGUAAGUAUGGAGUGAAAGUCCUGCUUUUAAGGUGGGAAUUGCUUUGGAUACUGUCGGGCUUGAGUGCAGGAGAGGUAAGUGGAAUUCCCGGUGUAGCGGUGAAAUGCGUAGAGAUCGGGAGGAACACCAGUGGCGAAGGCGACUUACUGGACUGUAACUGACGCUGAGGCGCGAAAGUGUGGGGAGCAAACAGGAUUAGAUACCCGUGUAGUCC
rnacentral:rRNA from 1 species